CGGCCAAGGGCGGCAGGGGCCAGCCCGCCGGGUCCCCGCCGCGGUCUUUGUCCCGGCCGCGCGCGGGCGGACGCGUGCACCCCCAGGGUGAGGGGAGGUGUGGAGAGCGCGCACGGGAGCGCGCGGGAACAGCUCGCGCCCGCCGGGCGUCGGCGGCGCGCGCCCCUCCGCCAGCGGCGAGCGCUACCCGCGGCCCCCGCGCGGCCCUCCCCACAAAGGGCCGCGGAGCUGCGUGGCCGCCGCCGCCGGCCGUGGCUCGCCUCCGCGGGCGCGGAAAUUUGUUGCACUUCUUGGGGCUUUGUUUAUUUGUUUGUUUUUUCUCUGGGUUUCUUAUUUUUUUCGUUAUUUUGGACAAAAUGUCGGUCCGUGAUAUAAAAAUUGAGCGAGGAACCUUGGUGGCAUUGGGAGCUUUGCAGAAGGUGCAGUUUGAAUUCUGCUUUUCCCAGGGUGGCAGCUCGGUCUUGGCCGGAUGAAUCUUCGCUGCUGGCCGUGGAAACAGCUAGAGCAGCUCUUUCCAAGAGAUAACUUCACCAAGAUGUCCAGUGAUAGGCAAAGGUCCGAUGAUGAGAGCCCCAGCACCAGCAGUGGCAGUUCAGAU
rnacentral:lncRNA from 1 species